rnacentral:lncRNA from 1 species
UAAUGGCUAGACACAUGGGCCAUGCAGUCAAACUUUUUGGGCGCUGAACUUGGUUUUUCACUUACAAGAGGUGGUUAGCGAGAUGUGUUAACCUGUGUCUGUUUAUCUCUAAAGUGGGGUUAUUAAUAAUCCUUGUCUCUUCAUAGAUGAGAUAAUCUAUAUGAGGGAUUUAGCAGUAAUUGGCAUACAGUAAACAAUCAUCAGUCGUUAAACAUUGUUUACCUGAGGAGAUUGGUCACUGGCGGGCUAAAAAUGAUUGUAGUGAAAGGACUGUUUCAUGUAAUAGUUCUAUGUAUAAUUCCAUUUUAGAUUCAAGGCCUAGUUUUAGAGACAUUGAUGAGGUUGUACUUUUAAAAAUUAGGCUUAGUUUUAAGUUCUUGAAAGUGUGGUGGUAGUGUUGUUUUAACAUGUUUCUAUGAAGUCAGUAGAUGGGGGAACAUCUCAAAGCACCUAAAUUGCCAAGAUAUUAAACAGGAUGAAAAUGUUAGAAUUUUUACUGUGCUAGGUGUCUUCUCUUUCAGUCCAGGAUCUGCAUUGCAGUAAAGAAUCAUUUUCACUGCUUAGAUCCAGAAAGAAUAAACCCAUCUUACGAGUUUAUAGUUAGUGCUGCUUGUUACUAUGUCUAAUUUUAAUUUUUCUCAUUCUAGGCUUUUGGGUAAUCCCCUUCCCACCCCAUCCCUUAAUUUUAUUCUUUUGAAGAGUGCAUUUCAAGCUGCCAAGGUGGAGAGAGGGAUUACAGAAAGGAGAACACCUUAUUUCAGUCCUUUUCCCCUAACCUCCUUGGAGACUGGAUUCCUGCUCUUAAGUCCAAGUCCAUUAACUGAGACCCUGCUGUCUGCUACUAGACCUUUUUAAAGCUGACCCUACCCAUUUUGGUUCUUGAUGCCAGCUGUUCACCUCAUCUGUAACGUAUCAGGACUAAAUUAUGGAUACCAUGCACAGCUAGUGAGAAUGGACUUUUAGCACCCGAAGGUGGGUCUGGUGGACAACAGACAAGUCGAGUUCCAGAUAGCAACUAGUUCUAGAUUACCCUAACCUAAAUGUAGUUACCGUGACUGAAUCCCAAAGAGAAGAUUCUUUUCCUUUGUAUUUAAACCCUACCUACCCUUCAGAAUUGGCUUUUUUUCCUCUAAAUAAAACCAAAGGAAACCAAGUAACAAGCACUGCCAGCUU